GAAAGAGGGUGACUUAGCAUGGGUUCUGCACAUUAGCUGAACCUCAACGAUGGAGGAGGAAGACUUUGGACAGACACUUUGGCUCCUGUUGCAACGAAAG